rnacentral:rRNA from 1 species
GACGAACGCUGGCGGCGUGCUUAACACAUGCAAGUCGAACGGAAAGGCCCUGCUUUUGUGGGGUGCUCGAGUGGCGAACGGGUGAGUAACACGUGAGUAACCUGCCCUUGACUUUGGGAUAACUUCAGGAAACUGGGGCUAAUACCGGAUAGGAGCUCCUGCUGCAUGGUGGGGGUUGGAAAGUUUCGGCGGUUGUGGAUGGACUCGCGGCUUAUCAGCUUGUUGGUGGGGUAGUGGCUUACCAAGGCUUUGACGGGUAGCCGGCCUGAGAGGGUGACCGGCCACAUUGGGACUGAGAUACGGCCCAGACUCCUACGGGAGGCAGCAGUGGGGAAUAUUGCACAAUGGGCGGAAGCCUGAUGCAGCAACGCCGCGUGCGGGAUGACGGCCUUCGGGUUGUAAACCGCUGUCGCCUGUGACGAAGCGUGAGUGACGGUAAUGGGUAAAGAAGCACCGGCUAACUACGUG